AAGCACAUAGCAUGUCUGGUUGUUCAGGGUCAGCCCACCUCUCCUGUAUGUUCAAAGAAAGCAAAAGAAUAUUUUUGCAUCCAGAACUUGUUGCCAAGUGGACAAAUGCAAUGCACAGCAAGUGCCAACACCUGGCAAGAGGCACCCUGCAACUCAACACUUUCAGCCAUCUUUGCUUGCGCAGUGCUGUGACAAGCUCUUUGGUCCCACACAAGCUACCACUGCUCUGCUAUGUAUUACUUUUAUGACUUCAGAGCAUGCCACACACAGACUUACUAACCUAAAUGCACCAGAGACACAGAGAAGAAAAAAAAAUUGCGUCCAUAAUUCACAUAGCCAGGCUGAAAAAAGCCCCUGAAGACACAACAUCUUCCACUUUCAUAGAUGGACUUUUGUGGGGGAAACCAUAAACACCACACCUUUUCCUUGCGGUCAGUGCUUUGCACUUUGCUAAAUACACUGCUCUUCUACAACUUCUCCUCUCACACCCACGCGGGCACAGCCUGCAAAACAUCCCGCUUGAUUCUACGGGCAAGCAGAGACAUGCUGGUUAACCCGCCCAUCCCUAUGGCACCAUUCUGGAACUUGGACCCCCUAAUUUCACUCACGCGAAGAACAUCGACGCUCUGAGGCGAUCAGCUCCGGCGCAGACACGUCCUGCAGCAGCGGGGAGAACUGCAGCGUAUGUGGGGAAGUCCUGGAAUCGAGGGGCCGCCAGGGUGAGCAGCCAGGACCCGCCAGCCCCCUGCGAGCCGCUGAGACCAGGCGGUGGCGGCCAGACGCAAGGGCGGGAAGUUUAAACGGCCUAACGGUCCUGUCUCCAACGGUCACUUUGAGGCGAUCGGCUCCAGCGCCGCACACCUAGCAGGGGAGGCGGGGUCCCAACGCAAGGGGAGAGCUGCCACGAGCUUCCAGCAAUCACGAGAGCAGCUGAGCAGGUGCGGGCAGGGUCAGGAGAACCGACAGUCGCUCUCACGCCUCAAAGAGCAGCUCCAGAGGGCGCGAGCAUGCACGAGCACAGCACGUACAGGAACACAGCACGCUCGCAGCUUGCCCGCGUGGAGGGUGACAGGCAGCCUGCCUUCUCUCUUGAAAGAAACACGGGGAGCACCUGCUGCAACGGCCAAGCUGAGGUGGAAACCCAGACUGGGAGGCAAAGCCUUCCCUUCUCGGGCUGUUACAGACAGACCUCCCUGAGUGUGAAAGAAGCUAAGAAAGCUUCCAGCCCCGAGGAGGCAGACCGCAGAAACCUGCAGAGCGGACCUGCAUCUCUGCUCAGAACAGAAGGAGGACCCCCUUGUCCACAAAGUACCCUCUAACAACAGACAUGCUCUGGGGCUGGAAAAAGGAAAGGAUGUGGGUAACAGCCAAGGCGGGGGAAGGGACAGACACAGUAAGCUGGUCCAACCAAGGACCAACUCUCCACACAGAGAGGCACUGAAGCAUUCAUUUGCCAUCCAGAUAAUCUCUGUAGAGUGGUUUUCCACCUGCUGGUGACCUUCAUUUGUGAUAUCAAGAAAAGAUUAGAGUCCCUAGGAAAGCAAGAGGAUGACUCUCCAUUCCUGCUUUUUCGAGUCAAGACAAGGCUACUAGUAUUUCAGGAUGUUUCUGCAGUAGAGUGGUUUGUACAUAAGAGGAAUGAAUACUACUGUGCUGCAACAAGAACAGAAAGUCCAGAAAUCCCACUUUGAAGGACUCUGCACACAAAGAAGAAACUGCCUAAGGAGGACAAGUGGCGACUCAGGUAAGCCAAAACCAAAUGAUUAAUGAGUGAAACAUGCAAAAUAAAUUGUAUUCCUCCUGGCAACCACAGCAGACCAACCAACUAUGUUCUCUCAAGAAACACACAUUAAAAAAAAUGCAAAGAAAGUUCUUCCCACCACACCACUUGAGUCCAAAAGCAGACAUGAGGAAAGAGGACUCUCCAGUGAAUGUGAGUUUCUAGGAACAUCCCACAGUUGCCUUUCGUAAUUUACAGGAUAGUGCUUUUCUAAAGUCUUGUUGAGGUUUUCCAAAUCUGUCCUUCAAAGCAUGCUGCAUUGUUGCCUUUGUUUUUAAGUCAGAAACAGGUAAGUUCUGGAGGGACAGAGAAAACCUUCAAGAGAUAAUCACAGAGGUUUGCAGUGUAAGAAAAACGUUAAUACGAAUACAGACUACAUUGAGCAUUCCCAUGAAAAACACACAGUUCAAGUAAGGCUCAUCCAGUUUGGGCUCAUAGGAUAAAAGCAAGGCUUGAGUUGCUUCAUAUUUCUGGGCUUCCAAAUGCCCUCCUUCACUCCCUAUCCCACCAUUCCAAGUUCAUCUGAAAAGCAGAUAUUUUUCCAACAUUUAAUGUCCCUGCAAAUAAAAUGAUCUUGAUACUGGAGUGAGUACAUAUACUGUAAGGAGAUUUUGGCAAACCUUCUACUGUCUGGGUCUUGUUAAACUCCUACUGACACUCAUGCACGCAUUAUACAAAGGAACACAGAAGGUCAGGUGCAUUUUUAAACAAAAGCAAUGCCAAAGUUUCUUUUAGAUAAAUUUAUGACCAAUAGUUUACAUGCAUUAUUAAUUUGUUGAGCAUUUUCUCAGAAUUCUUGGAAUUAAAUGUCAGUUAUAUAAAUUUAAAAAAAGUUUGCGUUUACACAGCAGAGGAUUCAGACAAAUGACUCAAUGCUACAGAGGCAUUCCUGAGACUCAUUACUCCAAGGAUUUUAAGGACAAGAUCAUCUUGUUUCUUGAGUGUUCUUUGGCAGCAGAAAUCUACAGACUCAAUUUUUUUUUUCCUUGAAAAUUCACCAGUUUUUCAUGCUUGAACAUCUAGUAUAGAUGUUGCUCCAAGAAAAAGCUUCCUCCUACAUGCCAGAUUAAAACAAUUUUGAUCCAGUUUGUACACCUUUAUUCUUGUGCAAAUCUUCACCGUGGAAAAAGAGUCCUCUAGCAAAUAGCUGGAAACAACAGUAAAGACUCUCUCAGUUUUCAUCUUUGUAGCUGAAGCAGACCUUCCCCCCCACUCCCUUAGCCCGUCUGCUGUGAUAUCCAAUGCUAAUUUCUCAGUGUGGACUUACUCUAUCUGGAACAAGCCUAUUUGGACAGCACGAGAUGCAUGUAUUCUGAUGCCUGCUGCCUGCGUCCUGCAGUUCUAAAUCACAAGGUCCUUGAGAAAAUUCUCUCAGAGAGAUGCAGUGUUAUGUCCAGAGCUCAUGAAGUGAAAAAAUAAAUACCUCAGGUAAUUUUUACAGAAGGCAUAUAGUAGGAUUGUAGGGAGUGCACUGAAAAUAGUUUGCAUAUGUCAGGAAGAAUUAAAUGUGCCUUCAAUUUCUUGUUAUUGUGCUAAGCAGGAGACACCUUUAACAAUCCAGAGCUACCACAGUUUGACCAAUAUGAUUAUUUUGUAGUAGUACAUCAAUGAUUUUUACAAAGAAAUUAGACGAGCUAAUAAGGUACAUUUAAGAUUCUCUCCCCUUAUGCUGAAGAAAAAAUUUAUGAGAAAAACAAAGCUGCCGCCGCCACCACCACCAAAAUGUAAUGCACACUAGCAGACGGUCUUAUGAAAAAAAAAAAAAAAAAAAAUCAGGACAGGUGUCCUAGAAGAGCACCUGCCCUUUCUUUAAAGAUUCCAAGUUUUUUUUUUUUAAAAAAAAAAAGAAAGAAAAGAAAAGAGACCGUAGGUAAAGUAUUCUUAUUGUAUUGUCUUGAUAUUUCAUUACAGCUAUAGAAAUAUCUGCAUAGAAAGUACAGUUCUUAAGUAUCAGCUUCCAGGUAAAUGACAUUUCUAGAAUCACAGAAAUUUUUAGGUUGGAAAAGACUCUAAGACUAUCAAGCCCAAUCAUCCAUUUAACUCUAUCAAGUCCACCACUAAACCACAUCCCUAAGCACUAAUCCACAAAUACCCCCAGGGAUGGAGACCCCACCACCUCCCUGGGCAUCCUGUUACAAUGCCUAACCAUGCUAUUUUGUGAAGUAAUCAUUUCUGAUAUCCAACCUAAACCUUCCCUAGCAUAUAUUGAGGCAGUUUCCUUGUGUUCUACCACUUGUCACCUGAUAAAAGGGAGACUCCUCACUAAAACCUCCUUUCGGAUAGCUGUAGAAAGCAAUGAAGUCUCCUCUCAGCCUCCUUUUCUCCAAAUUAAACAACCUCAGUUCCCUCAGCUGUUUCUCAUGUCUUUUUCCUAUUCCCUUAACCAGCUUUGUUGCUCUUCUCUGAACCAGUCUUAUCCUUUAUUAGUGUUACACUACUGAUUCCCCCCACAGUAUGCUCUAGACAAAAGGGCACAUGUAGUAGAUGAUAAAUGAAAGCAGUUGUUUCUUAAAGACAAAUUAGUACAGCAGCAGCAGAGCUUUGAAGUUUCUCAUCAAAUCGUCAUCGUAUUCUCACAGGAAUGUCUCAAAGGGAUAAACCAGGCCUUUAAAAUAGCAGCAAAGUGCAUGCGUGAAAUCCUGUUUUCAUGUCAGUGGAAAUUUGUUUGCUUUUUUUAUUCACUUCACUAACUCCAGAGGCUGCAUCUUUAAGCAUGCAUUUCAUCUGAUAAUCUGUGUUGAUUCAAUAAAAACGUUUAAAAUAGUGAAUGCUCUCAAGGGCAGGCACAGCAUCCUAGAGAUUCUAAAUCACCAUUAUAAAUAGCUUGCCUCUAACACUGAGACUUUGCCUAAAUAGAAACACUUACUAACUUCAGGCAGAUCACUAAGGGGUUAAAAUUAAAUGUGUGGAGACACUUGCUGUUAGGUGUCCCCACACUUUAAAAGGUAGUCAGCCUUUAACUUCUUUUAGGCGAAGGAUGUUAAGCAACAGCAAAUUUAAGUCAGUGUGUACUUUUGGUAAGAGCCCAUGUGUUUAGAAGCAAGGGAGGAAAAAAAAAUAGUUAUUUUAAAAUAAUAAUAAUAAUAAUAAAAAUCUCUUGGAAUUGCCUGCUUAGUUCUAAUUCAGAAAAGACUCAAUUCAACAGAUUACCCUUAGCACCCUAGUAGGACAUUAAUUUCUCAGCAGUAAAAAUGUGUCAGAUCUAUUAAUGUAAGGAACAAGAUUUGACAUUUUUUGUCUCCCAGAACUGAGAUGCUUUGAAUCAAUAGUUCUUCAGAUCUGACACGCCAGGAGACAAAAAUGUGAUUGUAGAGGAUGCUGUAGCUAUGAAUAACAUUACAGUGAAGUAUUGAAUGGAAGGGAAAGUAUACCUAAAACUUAAAACAUGGUAUCCUGGUGAAACAUUACUUAAGUUUUGUUACAAAAAUCUAUUAUUAUUAUGAACAGUAACUUCUCCCUAUGUACUUCAGGGUUUUACUGCAUUUGGAAAAAAAAAAAAAGUACAGAAUUUUGUCGCUGUUCUGACUCCAAGACAAAACUAAGCAGUACCCAAACAAACAAGAAACACUGAGAACUGUGAGCCUGUUUUUUUUCUUCUGCAAACUGAUGCCUUCUGUUUCAAAUCUUGGACAGAAAAUGCUGAUAUCAGAAUGUUCCGAAGAUCUACCCACUAGAAAGCCAAGGUUUUAAGGACUUGAUUUGCAAGAGAAGGCAGGAGUUUAGGACUUCAUGUGAACCAACAAAGUUUGGCAAUAACAACUUGCAAUGUAUGGAAUCACUUCCAGGAGAUAUUAAAGAAAAACAUUUGCUAUUUGCACACCUGACUGUUCUCCAAAUGAGGAGAGCUCAUUAAGAAGCCUGCUGAAGUUCUACAUUGGCUACUCCAAAAGUAAUGCCUUCUAUGUUAUUAUAUUGGCACGACAGUAGAAGUUGAACCUUCCUACCAAUAUUCCGUUACAUUUUGUUGCUGUGACAGAAGCAUUAGAGGGGCAGCCUGACAAAAUGGCAUCUGACAUGAAAGUGCAUAUGAAACAAAGGUCUGUCAUUUAAUUCUUCUAUGUGGAAAAAACUGCACCUAUUGACUUUCACUGACACUUGCUGAAUGCCUAUGGAGACCAAUCAGUGGAUGUGAGCACAGCGAGGUGGAGACUUCUUAAUUUGAAGUUGAAAUUAAAAAAAAUAAAAAAUAACUGAAUUAUGGCCUCUAAACUAGCUACAGAGGCUGUUUACAAACAGACAUUUUCCUUUUAUGAAGCUAUCUUUGAUAUAUUUUAGGUUAAGUUGUAUUUACUGGGUUUAGUCCUCUUAAAACUAUUUCAAGAUCUAAUACUUUAAUGUCUGUGAUGAGGAGAUAAGAUUGCAAACACUAUGUCCAAGAGAAAGAAAAAGCUGAACUUCAAAUCAGCCCAUCUGAUAUCAGUCUGGAGAAACACAUCACAUGAGUAGUAGAGACAUAAAGCUACUGUGUCUUUUUCCCCCUCAAAAGAGAUGUUUUUUGCCCUCUGAGUCACAAAAGCAGCUGAAGCACUAAGUUCACUCCUCACAGCAUUGGAAAAAAUGAGAAGAUGGAUAAGAAGCACUACAUUUUGACUUAAGAAAAAGGAUUUUUUUUUUUUAAUGUCAACAAUACACAAUGUCAAGAAAUUUUUAGUACCAACUGGUGUCUGCUAAAGCUAUUUAUCUGUGUUUGCCUUCCUCCUAGAAUGUAUCAGUCUUUUUUUUGUUGUUGUUUUUUAAUCCUCAUGAUAGUGUUGAGAAAGAAUGAUCAGAUUUUGCAACUCAAGUUGCACAAGCAGACCUAUGUGGUUACAAUCUUAUGAGAGAGAGGUAUGAGAAGUCAAUACCUCAAGACUGCAACUAAUUUAAACUCCAGAUGACUCUAAACACUAGUCUGGUAUCUUAUCUCUUUCAGCAGAAAGUAUGUCAGUCUGCAAUGUCAAUCUCCUGGUGCUGCAACUGUAGAAUGAAAUCCUUACAUCGACAUCAUUGAAAACUAAAAACUCAGUCUAUUUCAAUGUCAAUAUUACACAAUACCAUUCUUUCAUUAUCUUAGAAGAACAAAAAUAUUUAAAAUUAUAUCCAAUUUGAACUCCCUUUCUGCGUAUUUUGGCUGCAGUAAAAAGCAAAUAAAGCAUUCCUUUUCUGUUGUUUUCAGUAAAAAAAAAAAUAUUUGUUCUAUAGUUCUCCACAUCAGAGCCUAUUGUUACAAUAGCAACAGCAAAAGAAAGAAAACGCUACAUUACAUUUACAGUUGACAUAAUAACACAAGUAAUACUUGUAAAAGAAAAAAAAACAAAACAGUCAAACAUCAUGUAGACUGUAUCAUCUAUCACCCUAUUCCCUCAGGACUCUGGUAAGGAUCUUGUACUUUUUUUUCCAAAAUUAAGGUGCUUGUUUUUUUUUUUUUUUUUUUUUUUUAAA